CCGAGGCUGGAGUGCAGUGGCGCGAUCUUGGCUCGCUGCAACCUCCACCUCUGUUGAUGAACAAGGAGGCCUCCUGCUGCCGCCCCACCAGUCCUGCCUCCUGGCCCGUAGACCGCUCGUGAGCAACUACAGAUUCUGCCCCUACGCUCCCAAGAGUAGCACCAGGACUCUUGUAACAGCGCUGUGAGGAAGGGAUGGUCAGCCUCAUCUUCAGGACCCAUCACCCGCGUGGCUUAUCCUCAGGCUGAAAAGGGAGAUAAGAAUGAGUCCUCAAGGGCGUGGAUGAAAUGUAGAAUGUGAGUGGGGCUCCUGGCACAGAGCAAGAUCGCUGGAGGUUGUUCACUCCUGAUUCCUAAGAACCCUAAUGCAUCCAUCUCUGACAUACAGACCUCACUGUCCCCUUCCCUGCCCGACCUCCCACCACCAGCUGUACCACAUCUAAGUGGUGGGGGCACAGAUUUCUGUUUGGGGGAUUCAUGUGUAUUUUAAACUUUGCCUUCACACUGAUUAAGAAAAAUCAUCCCACUGAAUAAAUGAUCGCUUGCCUCCA